CAGCGGUGAUGAUAAUAC
rnacentral:miRNA from 1 species